CGAACUGGUGAGUAACACGUGGGAAACCUGCCCAGAAGCGGGGGAUAACACCUGGAAACAGAUGCUAAUACCGCAUAACAACUUGGACCGCAUGGUCCGAGCUUGAAAGAUGGCUUCGGCUAUCACUUUUGGAUGGUCCCGCGGCGUAUUAGCUAGAUGGUGGGGUAACGGCUCACCAUGGCAAUGAUACGUAGCCGACCUGAGAGGGUAAUCGGCCACAUUGGGACUGAGACACGGCCCAAACUCCUACGGGAGGCAGCAGUAGGGAAUCUUCCACAAUGGACGAAAGUCUGAUGGAGCAACGCCGCGUGAGUGAAGAAGGGUUUCGGCUCGUAAAACUCUGUUGUUAAAGAAGAACAUAUCUGAGAGUAACUGUUCAGGUAUUGACGGUAUUUAACCAGAAAGCCACGGCUAACUACGUGCCAGCAGCCGCGGUAAUACGUAGGUGGCAAGCGUUGUCCGGAUUUAUUGGGCGUAAAGCGAGCGCAGGCGGUUUUUUAAGUCUGAUGUGAAAGCCUUCGGCUCAACCGAAGAAGUGCAUCGGAAACUGGGAAACUUGAGUGCAGAAGAGGACAGUGGAACUCCAUGUGUAGCGGUGAAAUGCGUAGAUAUAUGGAAGAACACCAGUGGCGAAGGCGGCUGUCUGGUCUGUAACUGACGCUGAGGCUCGAAAGUAUGGGUAGCAAACAGGAUUAGAUACCCUGGUAGUCCAUACCGUAAACGAUGAAUGCUAAGUGUUGGAGGGUUUCCGCCCUUCAGUGCUGCAGCUAACGCAUUAAGCAUUCCGCCUGGGGAGUACGGCCGCAAGGCUGAAACUCAAAGGAAUUGACGGGGGCCCGCACAAGCGGUGGAGCAUGUGGUUUAAUUCGAAGCUACGCGAAGAACCUUACCAGGUCUUGACAUACUAUGCAAAUCUAAGAGAUUAGACGUUCCCUUCGGGGACAUGGAUACAGGUGGUGCAUGGUUGUCGUCAGCUCGUGUCGUGAGAUGUUGGGUUAAGUCCCGCAACGAGCGCAACCCUUAUUAUCAGUUGCCAGCAUUAAGUUGGGCACUCUGGUGAGACUGCCGGUGACAAACCGGAGGAAGGUGGGGAUGACGUCAAAUCAUCAUGCCCCUUAUGACCUGGGCUACACACGUGCUACAAUGGAUGGUACAACGAGUUGCGAACUCGCGAGAGUAAGCUAAUCUCUUAAAGCCAUUCUCAGUUCGGAUUGUAGGCUGCAACUCGCCUACAUGAAGUCGGAAUCGCUAGUAAUCGCGGAUCAGCAUGCCGCGGUGAAUACGUUCCCGGGCCUUGUACACACCGC
rnacentral:rRNA from 2 species